CUUGGUAAAGAUAUACAUUAUUGUCAUUAUUUGUGGACUACUGUGGUUGGCAAGACAGCUGUGGUGCAGCUGUGUCUGAGAGAAUGAGCCAGUUUACUGUCACUGACUAAAUGAAACUCUUUUUGUCUUUGUUUUUUUUGGUCUGAUUUAUGAGCACAUGUAAACCUAAAGGGCACCAGGGUCAUCGUCUUAUUGGUGAGACGCAUUAGCACUUGAAAGGAUCAAAUCAUUGCAGACAACACUGACUUCUCUACUGGAAUUUAAGCAGUAUUUCAAACUGGACAAUCCACAAGCAGAAGAAGCACGAGGCACCCUAACAAAGCACAUCCCCGCUUCAAAAUCCAAAGAGCCGGACGAGCUGAAGUGAACUUUCUUCCCAACUUUCCCCAAGAAUAAAACCAGAGCAGUGUGGAAGAAAUGAGACUGCAGAUGAAACAUGAAGUUCAAAAGAGUGACUGAAACCUGAAGUUAAUAGAAAACUUCAUGCAGAUGACCUUUGCCCUCCAUCACCAGAUCAUUCAGGCACAUCCAUUGGUGAAAGACUUCCUGCAGCCGGGCCUUCAGAUCCAAUCACAGGUUUGUGCUGAAGUCCACGGUAUCCCAAAUGUCAGCCUGUGUAACCAGUGUUAUGCUGAUUAUGACAAACGCACACCUAGACUGUCGGCUUUGUAGCGGUACAGAAAAAAGGCAGCACGCACGGGAAAGAUAUCGGGCACACUGCGUGAUGAGAUCCAGCAGUUUCCAGAUGUUUGCGUGAAAUGUUUGGCGGUCCUUCGUGCCCACCCUGUGUACCUGUGUGAAGGGGACCCACACUUCCUGAAGACAUAGAAUCCGGAGAAGACAGAUGCUCAUCAACACUCCUGUUGUGCUUGUAACAGCGGUGAACGUGUGUUGUACAAGUCCAGUUAACAUCACUCCUGCAAGCACUGCAACGGUGGUGGAAGAUGAUCAUGUAAAAAGUGAAAUCCCCAUGUGGACCGAUGCAGUUACAUUGUUGUUUGGAUUGACACGUUGCAUUUGGACUGCCCGAGGGAACCUGUUCACACUUUGACCUUCAUUCAGAAGAUCCUGAUGGGUCUGGAUGGCAAAGAACUGAAACCGUGACUUCUCAGUCUAAAUAAUGAACUGUUUCUAACAGAGUAAGUAAUGUUUCGUGCAACUGUUCUGUUUGUUGUUUGCAUGCAUGUACACCUGCAAAUAUGUUUGUGGUUUCAAGUUCCAUGACUUGACAUUAUGCUGAAUGCAUCAUUGGACUUUAAUCAAACAGUUUACAUUUGAUACAUAAGUUUAUUAAUAUUUCCUGCUCUCCAAAUAUGUAGUUGGCUCAAAUUUGCACAGUUUCCAAAAGAAACGGAUAAAGAAGGGAGAUCAAUUUGUGAGAUAUUGUUUAAUUUCUUUCUUAUUUUGGUAAGUUUUCUGUUUUUUUGUUUUUUUUAUCAAGUCUUAUGUUUUUUCAGUCUCAAUGUAUUUGACACAACCAGACCUCAUGUUCUCUGUCACACACACACACACACAGCCUCUCGUGCACUCCUACACAAUCAUCCACAUUUGCCCAUAGCCAUCAAGAGUUGUUUCACUUUGUCUGGAGUCCUGCUUGUGAGUGCAGAGGUGCUUUCUUGUGCUGUGUAUGUGCAGGUUUUCCUUUGUGUCAGUGAUUUCCCCCUGAUUUCUGAGGCAGGGCUGAUCUGUAAGUUUUUGGAAAAUGAAAAUCUGAAUACAUUUGUUUCUUCAUGUCAUCUAAGACAGAUAGCUAGAGCACUUAGAAAUAUAAAGAAUUUCAUGACAAUAAAAGUUUUUACUGUUG